GAGGAGGUAAUUAAUUCCCUAACUCAAAAUCUUUACUGUGUUGCAUCCCAUCCAUUGAGAUAAACCUCAGUCCUGAAAGAAAGGAGAAAGCUAAACAAAACAAUGUCAGCUUCUAGGUUUGCACUGUACGGAAUCGGACCGCAAUCUUCCGUACCCAUCGAACCGUACCUGUAACUGUUAAGUCUUCCUUUAUCUUCUCCAAACCUAUUCCCUUCACGCCACCGCAAUUCCUCCGCCGCACUUCCCCCUCUU
rnacentral:lncRNA from 1 species